UACAGAGGGGGCAAGCGUUGUUCGGAAUUACUGGGCGUAAAGGGCGCGUAGGCGGCCUUCCAAGUCGAACGUGAAAUCCCCGGGCUCAACCCGGGAACUGCGUCCGAUACUGGAAGGCUUGAAUCCGGGAGAGGGAUGCGGAAUUCCAGGUGUAGCGGUGAAAUGCGUAGAUAUCUGGAGGAACACCGGUGGCGAAGGCGGCAUCCUGGACCGGUAUUGACGCUGAGGCGCGAAAGCUAGGGGAGCAAACGGG
rnacentral:rRNA from 1 species